rnacentral:rRNA from 1 species
GAAAAGAAUGCUAAUACCGCAUGACAUAUCGGAACCACAUGGUUCUGAUAUCAAAGAUUUUAUCGCUUGAAGAUGGACUCGCGUCCGAUUAGUUAGUUGGUGAGGUAACGGCUCACCAAGACCGCGAUCGGUAGCCGGACUGAGAGGUUGAACGGCCACAUUGGGACUGAGACACGGCCCAGACUCCUACGGGAGGCAGCAGUGGGGGAUAUUGCGCAAUGGGGGCAACCCUGACGCAGCAACGCCGCGUGAAGGAUGAAGGUUUUCGGAUUGUAAACUUCUUUUAUUAAGGACGAAAAAUGACGGUACUUAAUGAAUAAGCUCCGGCUAACUGCGUGCCAGCAGCCGCGGUAAUACGUAGGGAGCAAGCGUUGUCCGGAUUUACUGGGUGUAAAGGGUGCGUAGGCGGCUUUGCAAGUCAGAUGUGAAAUCUAUGGGCUCAACCCAUAAACUGCAUUUGAAACUGUAGAGCUUGAGUGAAGUAGAGGCAGGCGGAAUUCCCCGUGUAGCGGUGAAAUGCGUAGAGAUGGGGAGGAACACCAGUGGCGAAGGCGGCCUGCUGGGCUUUAACUGACGCUGAGGCACGAAAGCGUGGGUAGCAAACAGGAUUAGAUACCCUGGUAGUCCACGCUGUAAACGAUGAUAAGGAGGUGUGGGGGGUCUGACCCCUUCCGUG